UUCCCAGCUACUCAGGGGGCUAAGGCAGGAGAAUCGCUUGAACCCAGGAGGCAGAGGUAACGAAAACACAACAUAUCAAAACCUAUGAGAUACAGCAAAAGCAAUACUAAGAGAGAGGUUUAUCGCAAAAAAGUGGAGAAACUUCAAAUAAACAAUUUAAAUUGCUUUUUUUGAAUAUAUUAAGAAUUUUAAAUCACAAACAAUAGAAUUAUGCAGGAAUACUUGGAUUCACUGAUCUCAUGGCCAGUUGCAGAAGAAAAUCCUGAAGCUAGCAGAGGUUGGUUCAUGAGGUUUAAGGAAAGGAGCCAUCUUCAUUAAAAGUACAAGGUGAAGCAGCAAGUGCUGAGGCAGAAGCUGCAGAAAGUUAUCCAGAACAUCUACCUAAGAUCAUUGAUGAAGGUAGCUGCACAAAGAACAGGUUUUCAAUGUGUAAGAAGCAACCUUAUAUCAGAAGAUACCAUCUAGGAUUUUCAUAGCUGGAGAAAAGAAGUCAAU
rnacentral:lncRNA from 1 species